rnacentral:misc_RNA from 1 species
UCUCCGUUGGUGAACCAGCGGAGGGAUCAUCACCGAGUUCCAGCAACUCCCAACCCUUGCGAACCGUACCCCAGUCUGUUCUCGUUGCUUCCGGCAGGCGGGGGGGGCCACCUGGCCUCUCCCCCUGCCGGGGGCGGCGGGCCCUCUGAACCUUUACAUCUCAACCACUGAAACCCGUCUGAGCAAAACAAAAAAUAAUCAAAACUUUCAACAACGGAUCUCUUGGCUCUG